CCAGUUUGAAGCCGCUGCGUCAGUGACACUGGGAGUCCAGGCUCGAGCUUGCAAUAAACUCCUCAUGUAUUUACAUCAGAAGAGUUUCCUGGUGGUCUUCUUGGGAAUUUCAUGACUCGGGUACAACAUUUGGGGGCUCGUCCGGGAUCUCCAAUUGACCUAGGACUCUCUCUCUGGAGGAGCCCAGCCGGCAACAAGUGCACAUAUCCAAAGCAUCCAGGAAGGAGCUGUGUCAUCAGAUAAGUGGAACCCUCCAGUGUCCCUUGAUAGAAGAGCUUACCUCUCCCUGAGGAUCGGGACUUCUCAUCCAUCUGUGCUUACGGUUUUAGGAACACAAAACAAACCUCCUGCAGGUGGAUCACUGGACAUGAUGGGAUGGAGCUGUGGACACAUAAGAUAAUCAGCAGGGGCAGCAGCAAGAUUGGCCUUACCAAGUAGGAGCUGUGCUGUCGGGCCAAGGCAGAGCUUCCGUCACUAUCACCGGGAUGUCUGCAUUCAUGGGCCCAUUGCUCAAGAUCCAGAGUGCCUGAGGACAGAGGCCAGCUAACACUCUCAGAAAAGUCUCCCAUCCAGCAGGCUGUGCCGUGCUCCCUCCAAUGUGGAUGCUUCCAAGUGAGCAUCGAUGUGAGGCACAGACAGCUUCACACCCAGUGUCCAUUGCUUACAACCAAAUGUGCCGCUGUUUCCCCAGUAGGAGGAUUUCUCUUCUGUACUGCCUGGGCUCCUAGUGUGGGAGCAGCUUCUUUUCAGCUCACAGCAACCUACAAAUGAGCCUGCCCAUAUGUGAACCAGGCCUGGAUGUUUUCUUCUUCUAUCAUCUGGUCAUAGGGAAGCCCCAUGAGGACACAGAAUGAACUCCAGGAAAGACAUUCGUGCCACAGAUUAUGUGAUGGGCCUCCGAGCCACUUGCUUGUGUAACUUAAUUAUACUGCAGGCCUUGAUGUACCAUUUCCAUCUUGUGAUGAAUUACUAGUGUGCCUUCCUGACCUUCUCAUGAGAUGAUGGCUCUAAUAAUACCUAGCUCAUGACAGGCAGCUUCCACAUCCUAAUUACUUGGCAUCCAUCCAUGGUGAGUUUCUGCAAGGGCCCAUUAGUAUGUCCGAAACUGCUCUUCCAGUGCAUGCUUCUGCAAAGUAGCAGCAUGGUCUGUGUAAUGCACCUCUCAUUAGGCUUGCCAGAGGUUCCACCCAGCAUUCUGAGCUCCAUGGCUACCUCUAACACUGUAGCUUGCCCUGUAAUAUGGUCCUAGUGUAGAGUCCUCUCUUCCUCUGAGUCUCAUUUGGAAAUGUUAGAUCUCCAGCUACUUGGUAAGUGCAUUGGGAUAGUAUUCUCAAUGUGGCAUACACUGUCUCCAAAAUCCAAAUAACCCAGUUACUAUGUGUAUCUUGCUUAAUGAUAAGGUGCAAUAAUUUGUUCUUCACCUCAGAAGAGAUGUCCCAGCAUGUCGCAGACAGACCUAGAUCCCCUAAAACCUUCACCUGUGUAGCAAGAUUCUAAAUCUUUGUAGUGUUUACCUCCCUUCCUCAGACACACAUGUGUCUUAUUAGAACAUUCAAAGUAAUGCCAUUUUCCUGUUAUCGGGUCCAAUUGCCAUAUCAUCAAUACAUCAGACCAGAGAGAUCUUCUGCAGAAAGUCAAAAUGACCAAUGUCUUAGAAGACUACAUUAUAACAGAGAACGGGACAGUUACCAUGGUCUUAGGCACAACCAUGAAUGUUACGUUUCUUCCUGGCUAUAUGUGAAGGUCUUUCAGUUCUCCUUACUAGCAGAGAUUGAAAAGAAUACAUAGACGGAGUUGAAGCCAAGUGCCAGAGGCUGUGCCCAUCUAUUCCAAUAAAAAGAUUUCAUCCAGCAAAAGAGCUGCACUUGAGGCUGCCCCUUGCAUCCUGUGGUUACCUUGUCCAGCAUGUUCCAAAUGGUUUUUACAGACAUGAAUACAUGUGAAUUAAAUGGGAGAUACAAUGGGAACUGCCUUCCCUAUAGUCUUUAUGUUUUUAAGGGUGUCAUGAAUCUCCGAGCCUCUAAAAAUUCCAACAUACGGAUUCAGAAAGUAAAUGAAUGGGUUGUAAGCUACUGUUUUGGGUCUUGUUGUCAUGUGUGGGAAGCCAGCCAU